AACGGAGGGUCCAAGCGUUAUCCGGAAUCAUUGGGUUUAAAGGGUCCGUAGGCGGUUUUGUAAGUCAGUGGUGAAAGCCCAUCGCUCAACGGUGGAACGGCCAUUGAUACUGCAAGACUUGAAUUAUUAGGAAGUAACUAGAAUAUGUAGUGUAGCGGUGAAAUGCUUAGAGAUUACAUGGAAUACCAAUUGCGAAGGCAGGUUACUACUAAUGGAUUGACGCUGAUGGACGAAAGCGUGGGUAGCGAACAGG
rnacentral:rRNA from 1 species